GAGACGCGAAGAACCUUACCUGGCCUUGACAUAGAAAGAACUUACUAGAGAUAGUUUGGUGCUAGCUUGCUAGAACUUUCANACAGGUGCUGCACGGCUGUCGUCAGCUCGUGUCGUGAGAUGUUGGGUUAAGUCCCGCAACGAGCGCAACCCUCGUGUUUAGUUACUAACAGUUCGGCUGAGGACUCUAGACAGACUGCCUGGGUAACCAGGAGGAAGGUGAGGACGACGUCAAGUCAUCAUGGCCCUUACGGCCAGGGCUACACACGUGCUACAAUGGGGUAUACAAAGAGCCGCAAUACCGCGAGGUGGAGCAAAUCUCAUAAAAUAUCUCCCAGUUCGGAUUGAAGUCUGCAACUCGACUACAUGAAGUUGGAAUCGCUAGUAAUCGUGAAUCAGGAAUGUCACGGUGAAUACGUUCCCGGGUCUUGUACUCACCACCC
rnacentral:rRNA from 1 species